ACUCUUUGGUGCUAUAGGCAGCGCAUCAAUCAGUCUCACAAGCUGAAGGUCCUGAGUUCGAUCCUCAGAAAGAGGG
rnacentral:tRNA from 1 species